UCCUCCUAAUGGAAAACAGGUAUUGCUCAAUGUACCAUGAGCUAUUGGACUCGUGAGCAUAAUAAAAUCAAUAGCAGCUUUUUUGGUGCUCCUUUGCCAAAAACAAAAACCAAACGCCCCCUUGGAAGGGAAAAUGCCAACAUUUCUAUCAGACUAACAAUAAGAAAUAGGACUGAGUUCAGAGAAGUGAAGGUUUCUGCUGAGACCAGCUCAAACUAGCUCAGGACCUCAGUGGGAAGGUGGCAGCUGCCUUCAAGAACUGUUGUGUUGUGUGUGUCUUAAAGGCAUCACAACAAGCCUUUCCUGAGUUUGGCUGUCCACCCAAGCAGCUGAAGAUCAUGGACAGCAGUCCGGAAGACCUGAACUGCAGCCGGCUGAUGGGGAGGGGAGGCCCUUCUUUUGUGAACAGCUGAACAAUCAUCCAACUCAGGACAGAAAACUGCUUUUUUUUCUUCUUCUUCUUCUUCUAACUGGGCAUUCUUGCCCCUCAAGCAGCCUGAACUGUCUCCAUGGAAAGGAUGGACAGCCAACUGGCUCGCCGUAUUUCGUUAUUGACAUGCACUAAUAGUGUGCAGCCAAUUGAAUGCAUUUGGCCGACGUUGGUUAAGUGACCUGGCUUCAAAAAUGUGGACACGGUCAACAGAUUGAGUGAUGUUUGCCUUGCAGACGGUGGGACUGCUCGCUCCAGUUAACGUCACUGUAACCAGGAAGUGCUGGAGAGAACAAUUACUGAUGAGGCAGACAACAGCAAGAUUUAGAAGAUGAGGAAGGUCUUUGGUUAAAAAAAUACAAAUAAAAAGAUGCUGACAUCUCAAUUGGGAAAAUUACAACAGGACGAUGGGCUAAAUUUAACCGGUGAUGACGCAUCAGGCAGUAAAUAAAAUGAUCUCCGUGGAGAACCUCAGGUUUAUGUCGGAUUUAAUCUCUAAAUGUAACGCAAAAGAGACAUUUUUUGGCACAUAAAACUUCCUUUUAUCAAAUAAACAUGACCUUUAUAGACCUUGCUGGACAAAAUAAAUAUAUAUUUUUACAGUAAAACAUUUGAUUUCAAAGUUCCACUUUCAAUAAUAGAUGAGGACUAAACUGGCAAAAUAUUUGAAAAUAGAUUUACAAAAUCAGUGUUUAAAAGACAAAUGGCUUUCCAAUGAAAAGGGUUUGUUGCAUUUGAAUCUGCACCUUUAUGGAAUUGUAUUAAUUCAGUUACCCGGUCUGUUUCGUUAGCACGAUAAAACACAUCAGCAUCCUGUUUGGAAAAUCUAAAAGAGGCGUUUUUUAAACGAAUAAUAGUUCUUCACUCUAAAGGUGCUUUUUAAACAAUAAAAACAGAUUUUUUUUUCUGGGAAACAAAAUCAAGUCAACACGCUAAAUGCUUGGAAGAAAUGUUUCUACUGUACAACGUGAAACAGACAAAACAAGUUCAGCAUGUUUGAACAAACUGUCAAGAGAACACUGAUUCUCUUCAAGAGACUACAGAAAGCAGGUAGCAACGAUGGAUAGCCGUGAAAAAUAAAUCUAAUACCUCCAGCUGUGAAGCAUGGUGGCGGAGGAUUAGUAAUUUGAAAUCUUGACGUUUUUGACGUUAUGAAGGGAUUUAAAGUACAACACAGUGGCUCUCUGAAAUACUUUAUCCUGACACUGUUACUAAAGUCAUAGAAUGGCAAUAAAAAAUGUUUUUGAUUCUCUUUUUUUAA